rnacentral:rRNA from 1 species
AGCGAACGCUGGCGGCAGGCCUAACACAUGCAAGUCGAACGAAGUCUUCGGACUUAGUGGCGGACGGGUGAGUAACACGUGGGAACGUACCUUUUGGUUCGGAACAACUCAGGGAAACUUGAGCUAAUACCGGAUGAGCCCUUAGGGGGAAAGAUUUAUCGCCGAAAGAGCGGCCCGCGUUAGAUUAGCUAGUUGGUGAGGUAAAGGCUCACCAAGGCUACGAUCUAUAGCUGGUCUGAGAGGAUGAUCAGCCACACUGGGACUGAGACACGGCCCAGACUCCUACGGGAGGCAGCAGUGGGGAAUCUUGCGCAAUGGGCGAAAGCCUGACGCAGCCAUGCCGCGUGAAUGAUGAAGGUCUUAGGAUUGUAAAAUUCUUUCACCGGGGACGAUAAUGACGGUACCCGGAGAAGAAGCCCCGGCUAACUUCGUGCCAGCAGCCGCAGUAACAC